GACGAACGCUGGCGGCGUGCUUAACACAUGCAAGUCGAACGGAAAGGCCCUACUUUUGUGGGGUGCUCGAGUGGCGAAAGGGUGAGUAACACGUGAGUAACCUGCCCUUGACUUUGGUAUAACUUCAGGAAACUGGGGCUAAUACCGGAUAGGAGCUCCUGCUGCAUGGUGGGGGUUGGAAAGUUUCGGCGGUUGGGGAUGGACUCGCGGCUUAUCAGCUUGUUGGUGGGGUAGUGGCUUACCAAGGCUUUGACGGGUAGCCGGCCUGAGAGGGUGACCGGCCACAUUGGGACUGAGAUGCGGCCCAGACUCCUACGGGAGGCAGCAGUGGGGAAUAUUGCACAAUGGGCGGAAGCCUGAUGCAGCAACGCCGCGUGCGGGAUGACGGCCUUCGGGUUGUAAACCGCUUUCGCCUGUGACGAAGCGUGAGUGACGGUAAUGGGUAAAGAAGCACCGGCUAACUACGUG
rnacentral:rRNA from 1 species